GAUGAACGCUGGCGGCGUGCCUAAUACAUGCAAGUCGAGCGAACGGACGAGAAGCUUGCUUCUCUGAUGUUAGCGGCGGACGGGUGAGUAACACGUGGAUAACCUACCUAUAAGACUGGGAUAACUUCGGGAAACCGUAGCUAAUACCGGAUAAUAUUUUGAACCGCAUGGUUCAAAAGUGAAAGACGGUCUUGCUUUCACUUAUAGAGGGAUCCGCGCUGCAUUAGCUAGUUGGUAAGGUAACGGCUUACCAAGGCAACGAUGCAUAGCCGACCUGAGAGGGUGAUCGGCCACACUGGAACUGAGACACGGUCCAGACUCCUACGGGAGGCAGCAGUAGGGAAUCUUCCGCAAUGGGCGAAAGCCUGACGGAGCAACGCCGCGUGAGUGAUGAAGGUCUUCGGAUCGUAAAACUCUGUUAUUAGGGAAGAACAUAUGUGUAAGUAACUGUGCACAUCUUGACGGUACCUAAUCAGAAAGCCACGGCUAACUACGUG
rnacentral:rRNA from 1 species